rnacentral:misc_RNA from 1 species
AUCAACCAUCAAGCCUGGCUUGUCGUUGGACCCUGUGUCGUUGGAAUACACGACAGGUUCAAAAGAUAACGACGGUGUCUGUUAGACCCUAGAUGCAACGAGCUUUUUACAGCACGCAUUAAAGUGGUUGGCAGGCCCGGUCUUAACCAUUAUUUUCAAAGGUUGACCUCGGAUCAGGUAGGAAUACCCGCUGAACUUAA